rnacentral:lncRNA from 1 species
CUGCAGAGGCCACACCCCCUGCAUCCUCUUGGUGGAGAUGGACAGCAAGGGGGCAAAGUGAGACACACCUUCAUGAACACGGGGAGACAAAGCGUCCAUGUGAGUAAAGGAGCUUCGGCACCAGUACACAGGACCAGAAGAGAGCGGACUGGACCUCCGAAGAGCAUAAGGGCAGGACGUCGGCCCCGAACAACCUGUUGCACCACAGUGCUCUGCUCUCGGGUCACUGUUUUUACUGUGGAUGAACUCAGAGAGCCAUGGGGACGCUCAUCUCCAGGCACCUGGACGCCAAAGACAGGAAGUAUCUGUCGGGACACACAGCCCGCGUCCUGAGGGACUUCUCCUCGCACUUGCAUCUGCAGCUGAAUGCUGCCCUGCUGGAGCGCGAGCAGAGCCACAUGGGGUUGAGAGAUGCUACAGGGAGACAGACGGUCUUGCAGCAACACGACACGUGGCGCGGCGGGGAAGUGCUGCUGGAGGGAACCGUGCUUCAGUAUGCGGACGGCUCGUGGAGAGCGCGUCACCUGCAGGUCACCAAGGACUUUACAGUGGAGAGUAGCAACUCCAGUGAGGUGUUUGAGGGGGGCCGGCCGCGCGGGACACCCAUCGUCCUCUCGGGCAGCCAGAUCUGCACCUCUGUGCGGGAACAUCGCCUCCUGCUGGACACAGCUUGUCAGCACAUCACAGGUACUGUGCCCACUGGCAGCCAAUUAGCAAAAGCGAGCGGUUAUUGCUUUCCGUGGUAACGUGUCGUGCAACUCGAGCGGUGAGUUCUGUAAAUGUCACGAAAUGUGUGAUAUUGCGAAGGAAGUGCUCCAUCUUUUCACCAAUUAGGCGAUAUG